UACAGAGGUGGCAAGCGUUGUUCGGAAUUACUGGGCGUAAAGGGCGCGCAGGCGGCCCGGAAAGUCGGAUGUGAAAACUCGGGGCUCAACCCCGAGCGUGCACCCGAUACUGCCGGGCUUGAGGCAGGUAGGGGAGAUCGGAAUUCCUGGUGUAGCGGUGAAAUGCGUAGAGAUCAGGAAGAACAUCGGUGGCGAAGGCGCUCUGCUGGACCAUAACUGACACUCAGGGACGAAAGCUAGGGGAGCGAAUGGG
rnacentral:rRNA from 1 species